AUUGAACGCUGGCGGCAGGCCUAACACAUGCAAGUCGAGCGAGCGGCGGACGGGUGAGGAAUGUAUGGGGACUGCCCGCUAGAGGGGGAUAACUACUGGAAACGGUAGCUAAUACCGCAUACUAUCGGAUAACCCAUAUGGGAUUAGCUAGUAGGUGAGGUAAUGGCUCACCUAGGCGACGAUCCCUAGCUGGUCUGAGAGGAUGAUCAGCCACACUGGGACUGAGACACGGCCCAGACUCCUACGGAGGCAGCAGUGGGGAAUAUUGCACAAGGGGCGCAAGCCUGAUGCAGCCAUGCCGCGUGUAUGAAGAAGGCCCUAGGGUUGUAAAGUACUUUCAGUCGAGAAGCGUUACCGACAGAAGAAGCACCGGCUAACUCCGUGCCAGCAGCCGCGGUAAUAC
rnacentral:rRNA from 1 species